rnacentral:rRNA from 1 species
UACGUAGCAGACGAGCGUUGUCCGGAGUUACUGGGCGUAAAGGGUGCGCAGGCGGCCCGCCGCGUGUGGGGUAAAAUCUCCCGGCUCAACUGGGAGGGUGGUCGCGAGACGGCUGGGCUUGAGGCUCGGUGAGGGGCGUGGAAUUCCGGGUGGAGCGGUGAAAUGCGUAGAGAUCCGGAGGAACACCGACGGCGUAGGCAGCGCCCUAGACGAGACCUGACGCUCAGGCACGAAAGCGCGGGGAGCGAACAGG